CUGAAGCUAUCGCCAGCCAGGCCACUUGCUGCAAGCCACCGCGCACUCGACUGCUGCUCCUUCACGUAGCUCAGUGGCCUCACCUUCCCGCUGACCAGGGCUAGAACCAUGAUGAGAUACACAGCCUGCCUAGUGCUAGUGAUGUUGGUGCUCGCUGUGACGGAGGUGCACUCUAUCGUCUGUCGUAAGAACUACUGCAGCUAUGAGACAUGCAGCACAGAUCUGAAGUGCAGCAGCAAUCAGCUCUUGAUACCCAACAGCACUACAUGUGGCUGCUGUUCAUCCUGUGUUACUCAGCUAGAAGAAGGAGAAUUCUGCCGCCCGCUUGGUGGUCUAAGCGUUCCUCCCAGUUAUCAAUGUGGAAGCAACUUGCAGUGCAACUACACUACUGGUCGUUGCACAAAGAUUUCGACAUAGUGCAUUGUUGCCAAUAAGUAAUUGUCUUUGUGUAUGUAAAUUCAAUUCAAGAAAAAAUUUAAAAAUAAAUAUUAUUUUCUAAUAUAUA